rnacentral:rRNA from 1 species
UACGGGGGGGCAAGCGUUGUUCGGAAUUCCUGGGCGUAAAGGGCUCGUAGGUGGCCCACUAAGUCAGACGUGAAAUCCCUCGGCUUAACCGGGGAACUGCGUCUGAUACUGGAUGGCUGGAGAUUGGGAGAGGGAUGCGGAAUUCCAGGUGUAGCGGUGAAAUGCGUAGAUAUCUGGAGGAACACCGGUGGCGAAGGCGGCAUCCUGGACCAACACUGACGCUGAGGAGCGAAAGCCAGGGGAGCAAACGGG